ACUAACAUGUUAACAUGUGUGUGUGUGUGUGUGUGUGUGUGUAUAUAUAUAUAUAUAUAUAUAUACACACACACACACACACACAUAUAUAUAUAUAUA
rnacentral:miRNA from 1 species